rnacentral:lncRNA from 1 species
AGCACGAAAAUGAUUUUAACAAAAUAUAUUACUAGAAGAAAGAGGAAAUCGUUCACAAAACCUUAAAAUGGUUAAUGCAAAAAUAGAUCAACAAAUUUUGAUAGUGACUUCGCGAUAGUCGUUUGGAAAUCAGAUUGGCAUGAGUUGCUAAUUGCAAAUAGCAGAUCGAUGCCAAAAUUGAUAAAUUAGAUUUUGGAUGGCCAUGUCGAUAUAGACACUGUUGCAUGGAUAUCCAAGCAGUUUCGACCAAUUGGUAGAAGGGAUGUGACGGUGUCUUGCAAGUCUUGAGUUGCGUUGUCGUUUACAAAUGUUGCCGUUCAGCUAGUCUACACUAAGUAUGUGAAUGCAUUAUGCAUAGACAUACAAAUAACAAUUG